GAUGAACGCUGGCGGCGUGCCUAAUACAUGCAAGUCGAGCGAACAGAUAAGGAGCUUGCUCCUUUGACGUUAGCGGCGGACGGGUGAGUAACACGUGGGUAACCUACCUAUAAGACUGGAAUAACUCCGGGAAACCGGGGCUAAUGCCGGAUAACAUGUAGAACCGCAUGGUUCUAAAGUGAAAGAUGGUUUUGCUAUCACUUAUAGAUGGACCCGCGCCGGAUUAGCUAGUUGGUAAGGUAACGGCUUACCAAGGCAACGAUACGUAGCCGACCUGAGAGGGUGAUCGGCCACACUGGAACUGAGACACGGUCCAGACUCCUACGGGAGGCAGCAGUAGGGAAUCUUCCGCAAUGGGCGAAAGCCUGACGCAGCAACGCCGCGUGAGUGAUGAAGGUCUUCGGAUCGUAAAACUCUGUUAUUAGGGAAGAACAAAUGUGUAAGUAUCUGUGCACGUCUUGACGGUACCUACUCAGAAAGCCACGGCUAACUACGUG
rnacentral:rRNA from 1 species